CGCUCAGCCAAAAUACUGAACCUUCUUUCUGUCCGUGAAUACCAACGAAGUUAGAAGUGCGCGACGGUUCUAAAUUUUUCUGCUUAAAAUAUUUUUGAGUCUAAGAAUAAAAUUGUUACGAAUAAAAGGAGGUGACAUAUACAUACGGUGUUAAAAGUAAAAAUUUACGAGUGUAAAAUUGGCUAAAGCUAAAGGCACGAAAUUUGUUAAAA